rnacentral:rRNA from 1 species
AUUGAACGCUGGCGGCAGGCCUAACACAUGCAAGUCGAGCGAGCGGCGGACGGGUGAGUAAUGUAUGGGGACUGCCCGAUAGAGGGGGAUAACUACUGGAAACGGUGGCUAAUACCGCAUACUAUCGGAUAACCCAUAUGGGAUUAGCUAGUAGGUGGGGUAAAGGCUCACCUAGGCGACGAUCUCUAGCUGGUCUGAGAGGAUGAUCAGCCACACUGGAAAUGAGACUCGGCCAAGACGGCUACGGAGACAGCAGAGGGGAAUAUGGGACAAUGGGCGCGAGAAUGAUGCACAAAGGCCGCGUGUAUGAAGAAGGCCGGAGGGUUGAAAAGAACUUGCAGCGGGGAGGCGUUACCCGCAGAAGAAGCACCGGCUAACUCCGUGCCAGCAGCCGCGGUAAUUC